AUGCCAGGCCGCCGGCCCUCCUCCCUCAAGCUCAAGGCGGCGAAGAGAUGGUUGAGAUGGUGUUGCAGCUCCGCAGAAUGCAGACAAUUAAAUGAUUCUGCCCGUGCUAUCAAAGUGGCCUCUCGGACUGAAGAAGGUGCCACUGCUGAAAAUAUUGUUCAGCCUGCAUCCGUGCUAAAUGUUGGAGAGGAAACUGAAAGUGCAUCUGCUGAGGAUCCAAAGAACAUGCUUCCUGACCCCUCUAAGACCAAAAGGCAAUGCCGCCAAGGGAGUUGGCGCACCAAAGAAAGCGAGGCAGUAGUUCUUCCAUGGAGCACUUCUUCCAUGCCGUUAUCUAGAUAUGUACAUACGGUUCGACUAAGGUAUCUUCUAUAUUCUGCUUGCUUAUCAAGCGAAGUCUACGCUGGAAGGGUAUCAUGCUGA
rnacentral:rRNA from 1 species